CUUGAAUGCAGCCUAGGAGCUUCUGAGCCUGGGGUGUACUGUAAAAUGCAAAUGAGAAGCCUGACCUGCCCACAGCUAAGAUUGCUAUAAAGAGCAAAUAGGUCAGAGUGCCCAUUGUGGCUCAACAGCUAACGAGCCCAACUAGUAUCCAUGACGGUGAGGGUUCAAUCCCUGGCCUCACUCAAUGAGUCAAGGAUCCAGCGUUGACGGCAGCUGUGGCAUAGGUCGCAGACGCAGCUUGAAUCUGGCGUGCCUGUGGCAUAGGCUAGCAGCUACAACUCCAAUUCAACCCCCACCCCAGCCUGAGAACUUACAUAUGCCAUGGUCCUAAAGAAACAAACAACAAAAAAAAAAGCAAAUGGGUCAUGUCAGUGUGCUGAGAUGACUGUGUCAGUGGUGAUUUCAAAAACACACAAAACAAUGAUUUAGGGAUGAAAAAGUCCAGCGAAAAACCCUCUACCUCAGCCCCUGGAAGGUCAUGGCACAAGGUACCUGGCUUAUGUGUGCCAUAUUUGAUUAAGAAAUAAAAGGGGAAGCACCUAUUUUAUUCUCCAUCAUUGGCAGGAGUGAAGAGGCUGUGGAGGAGAAAGCAGCCUUCCGCCCCAACACCUGGAGCACUGCUGUCCUUCAGUUUCCCUCAAUAGCCCCUGGAACAGAUGACCAGGGAAAAGCAUGUGAUUUCAGCCAGGACACGGAGGAGAGAGGAGCUUCCCAGCGUGGAGAGAAUGCAUCAAUGGCAUCACAGUUCCAGCCAGUUCAGGGACAUGUAUCCUUCCCCAGCGAGGUGACUCUGCUGGCUGUUGUGACUUUUUCUGAUCCCCACAUGGAGAAGUGGUCUAGCUCACCGGAGUGCCAUGUGACUCAUCCGGCAAGUGGCACAACGCUGGACAUCCAGGCUGACUUGAAAAUACGGUUCGCCUGUUCACUGUGAUUCUAUGGGGAUGCUGGGCUCUUCCAGCUGCAGAUAUUUGCCACCAGGGUGGGGUGUUGCUGCUGCCCUCUCCACUGCCUCCUUGCACACACCACUCAGACCAUUCCGCACCAGUGCCAAACUCCAUCCGGAGCGUGGAGUAAGGUGGAGGGCUCCGGAUCAGCUCUGCAUGUUAACAGGCAUGGCUAAAUAGAGACCCGAGAGUGCCUGGCUUCCUGAAACCAGGCAAAAGCUGCGGUCCUUCCUUUUUGCUUGAGGAAGACUCGGGGCG
rnacentral:lncRNA from 1 species